rnacentral:rRNA from 1 species
GUCCACGCCGUAAACGAUGGAUACUAGCUGUUGGAGGUAUCGACCCCUCCAGUAGCGAAGCUAACGCGUUAAGUAUCCCGCCUGUGGAGUACGGUCGCAAAGACUAAAACAUAAAGGAAUUGACGGGGACCCGCACAAGCGGUGGAUUAUGUUCUUUAAUUCGAUGAUAAACGAAGAACCUUACCAGGGUUUGACAUCCCUUGAAUUUUGUCGAAAAGACGAGAGUGCUUUAAUUGAGCAAGGUGACAGGUGAUGCAUGGCCGUCGU